GGAACAAGUCAGUCUGGGAGACAACCUUUCCGAAGCACUUUCAUUACAUGACUCAGUCCCAUCAGAAUGCGCAGAGGAUGAAACUUUAGUCCCAAGCGAAGGAGAAGGACCUACACAUCCACCUCCACUACACCCACCCGGAGGCAUAAGAAGGUCGACUAGGGAGAGGAAGCCUAGACAGAUGCUCACAUAUCAAACUUUGGGUGAACCUUCUUUUCAGCCUCACCCCACUGUUGCAAUGCUUUCCCCACCCUACAUGCCACCAGGGAUGGUUUCCCCUUAUAUUCCAGGACUCUCUGGCUUCACACCUUACCUCCCAUACACUUACGCACCUCACGCAUACAACACACCCUUGCUUUAUUAAAUGUUGUUGUUGUUUGUAAAAUCUUUUGGAAAAAAAAAUUAAGGUUUCAAAUGUCAGGAGCCAUUCUUAUUUUGUCAGGGACCGUGUGACACACCGUAAUGUGUGGUCACAUUAUGUGGUUUGACUUUGUGGUAUUGUGUGAAUUUUGUUUGUAAUUUUGUUAAAUUAGGAUCUUAGUUUUCUGAUUUCUGUUACAAGAUAAAUGGAGUGCUAUCCUGAGUUACGCCACAAGGGGGCACCUUCACCCCAGUGAGAUGGCUUAGUGUGGCUUCCGCUUCCGUCUUCAGACUCAGCAGAAGCGGGAGAAGGAAACACACUGAUGUCGUCCGUCCCAUGAUUUUCCUGUUCUUUUCAGGACAAAAUAUAAUCUGUUGGCAGCCCACUCGCCAGGGGCCUGUUACACUUGACUUUGUCACACAGCUUGUGUUUAAGGGCCUUCGUGAUUGAGCAGCUCUGCAGUAAUCAGGCCUGAGUGUGGCAGUGAGACUGAAGUCAGCUUUCCAACAAUCUGCUUCAUCACAGUUCAUUGAUCAUUGAAGACGAGGGGAAAUGAGUUUUUCCCACAGGGCAGUUGCUGCUGUUGUAGAGAAUUUCCAGCAAACGUGAUAUCUGAGCGCCGCGGAGUCACGUGACCGCGCAGCAACAAACCACAGCAGAGCAGGAAGGAGGGGGCGGAGCAAAGUGCGGCUGCGUGGUUGGAGCGGAGCACAGAGAGAGAGCUGCUUUUUCCUGGAGGAAAAGAAGUGAACUUAGAGGAGAAACAAACUAAAGCAUCGAUCCAACAUCACUACCAACGUUUGUAUCGAUACUGUUGAUACUUGGAUCGAUCCGCGCACCCUGGUCUCCUGGAUCUGACCUGAGAACAGCGUUAAACUCUGUCUGUGGGCUCAGCUAAAGCUGAUUAUCAGGAGGAGGAGAGUCUGACGGAGCAGCAGAGGAACAUUUUCAGCCUCU